AAUAGAUACCCUGGUAGUCCAUGCCGUAAACGUUGGGCACUAGGUGUGGGGCCAGUUCCACUGGUUCUGUGCCGUAGCUAACGCAUUAAGUGCCCCGCCUGGGGAGUACGGCCGCAAGGCUAAAACUCAAAGGAAUUGACGGGGGCCCGCACAAGCGGCGGAGCAUGCGGAUUAAUUCGAUGCAACGCGAAGAACCUUACCAAGGCUUGACAUGUACGAGAAAGCCCCAGAGAUGGGGUUCUCUUUGGACACUCGUACACAGGUGGUGCAUGGUUGUCGUCAGCUCGUGUCGUGAGAUGUUGGGUUAAGUCCCGCAACGAGCGCAACCCUUGUCUCAUGUUGCCAGCGGGUUAUGCCGGGGACUCAUGGGAGACUGCCGGGGUCAACUCGGAGGAAGGUGGGGAUGACGUCAAAUCAUCAUGCCCCUUAUGUCUUGGGCUUCACGCAUGCUACAAUGGCCGGUACAGAGGGCUGCGAUACCGUGAGGUGGAGCGAAUCCCAAAAGCCGGUCUCAGUUCGGAUCGGGGU
rnacentral:rRNA from 1 species